rnacentral:rRNA from 1 species
AUACGGAGGGUGCAAGCGUUACUCGGAAUCACUGGGCGUAAAGCGCGCGCAGGCGGCUAUUUAAGUUGGAUGUGAGAGCCUACGGCUCAACCGUAGAACUGCAUCCAAAACGAUUUAGCUAGAGUGUGGGAGAGGAAGAUGGAAUUAGUUGUGUAGGGGUAAGAUCCGUAGAGAUAACUAGGAAUACCAAAAGCGAAGGCAAUCUUCUGGAACACUACUGACGCUGAGGCGCGAAAGCGUGGGGAGCAAACGGGAUUAGAAACCCCAGUAGUCC